rnacentral:rRNA from 1 species
AGAAUCAACGCUGGCGGCGUGCCUAACACAUGCAAGUCGAACGAGAAAGUGGAGCAAUCCAUGAGUAAAGUGGCGACCGGGUGAGUAACACGUGACUAACCUACCUUCGAGUGGGGGAUAACAUCGGGAAACCGAUGCUAAUACCGCAUAACAUCGCAAGAUCAAAGCAGCAAUGCGCUUGAAGAGGGGGUCGCGGCUGAUUAGCUAGUUGGCGGGGUAACAGCCCACCAAGGCGAAGAUCGGUA